rnacentral:lncRNA from 1 species
GCCAGGGAAUGUGAGUGGAGGCGAGUGCGAGUCAGUGCCAGUGAGUGUGAGUGGAGGCGAGUGCGAGAGAGUGCCAGUGAGUGUGAGUGGAGGUGAGUGCGAGUGCGAGUGAGUGCCAGUGAGUGUGAGCGAAGGUGAGUGCGAGUGCGAGUGAGUGCCAGUGAGUGUGAGCGAAGGUGAGUGCGAGUGCGAGUGAGUGCCAGGGAGUGUGAGUGGAGGCGAGUGCGAGUGAGUGCCAGUGAGUGUGAGUGGAGGUGAGGACGAGUGCGAGUGAGUGCCAGUGAGUGUGAGUGGAGGCGAGUGCGAGAGAGUGCCAGUGAGUGUGAGUGGAGGUGAGUGCGAGUGCGAGUGAGUGCCAGUGAGUGUGAGCGAAGGUGAGUGCGAGUGCGAGUGAGUGCCAGUGAGUGUGAGCGAAGGUGAGUGCGAGUGCGAGUGAGUGCCAGGGAGUGUGAGUGGAGGUGAGUGCGAGUGCGAGUGAGUGCCAGGGAGUGUGAGUAGAGGCGAGUGCGAGUGAGUGCCAGUGAGUGUGAGUGGAGGCGAGUGCGAGUGAGUGCCAGUGAGUGUGAGCGAAGGUGAGUGCGAGUGCGAGUGAGUGCCAGUGAGUGUGAGCGAAGGUGAGUGCGAGUGCGAGUGAGUGCCAGGGAGUGUGAGUGGAGGCGAGUGCGAGUGAGUGCCAGUGAGUGUGAGUGGAGGUGAGUGCGAGUGCGAGUGAGUGCCAGUGAGUGUGAGCGAAGGUGAGUGCGAGUGCGAGUGAGUGCCAGUGAGUGUGAGCGAAGGUGAGUGCGAGUGCGAGUGAGUGCCAGGGAGUGUGAGUGGAGGUGAGGACGAGUGCGAGUGAGUGCCAGUGAGUGUGAGUGGAGGCGAGUGCGAGAGAGUGCCAGUGAGUGUGAGUGGAGGUGAGGGCGAGUGCGAGUGAGUGCCAGUGAGU